rnacentral:rRNA from 1 species
AUUGAACGCUGGCGGCAGGCCUAACACAUGCAAGUCGAGCGGAUGAAGGGAGCUUGCUCCUGGAUUCAGCGGCGGACGGGUGAGUAAUGCCUAGGAAUCUGCCCGGUAGUGGGGGAUAACGUCCGGAAACGGGCGCUAAUACCGCAUACGUCCUGAGGGAGAAAGUGGGGGAUCUUCGGACCUCACGCUAUCAGAUGAGCCUAGGUCGGAUUAGCUAGUUGGUGGGGUAAAGGCCUACCAAGGCGACGAUCCGUAACUGGUCUGAGAGGAUGAUCAGUCACACUGGAACUGAGACACGGUCCAGACUCCUACGGGAGGCAGCAGUGGGGAAUAUUGGACAAUGAGCGAAAGCCUGAUCCAGCCAUGCCGCGUGUGUGAAGAAGGUCUUCGGAUUGUAAAGCACUUUAAGUUGGGAGGAAGGGCAGUAAGUUAAUACCUUGCUGUUUUGACGUUACCAACAGAAUAAGCACCGGCUAACUUCGUG